rnacentral:tRNA from 1 species
AAGAAUUUAGUUAAGCAAUAACAUUAAUUUGUCAAGUUAAAAUCGAAAUCAAUUUCAAUUCUUA